rnacentral:rRNA from 1 species
CCCUUAGAUGUCCUGGGCCGCACGCGCGCUACACUGAUGCAUUCAACGAGUAUUUCCUUGGCCGAGAGGCCUGGGCAAUCUUUUAAACCUGCAUCGUGAUAGGAAUAGAUUAUUGCAAUUAUUAAUCUUGAACGAGGAAUUCCUAGUAAACGCAAAUCAUCAAUUUGCAUUGAUUACGUCCCUGCCCUUUGUACACACCGCCCGUCGCACCUACCGAUUGAAUGGUCCGGUGAAAUCUCGGGAUUGUGGCCAGUUCACUUUAUUGGGAGUUGGCUGCGAGAACUUGCUUAAACCUUAUCAUUUAGAGGAAGGUGAAGUCGUAACA